GAUGAAGAACGCAGCGAAAUGCGAUAAGUAAUGUGAAUUGCAGAAUUCAGUGAAUCAUCGAAUCUUUGAACGCACAUUGCGCCCCCUGGUAUUCCGGGGCGCAUGCCUGUUCGAGCGUCAUUUCACCACUCAAGCCUCGCUUGGUAUUGGGCAACGCGGUCCGCCGCGUGCCUCAAAUCGACCGGCUGGGUCUUCUGUCCCCUAAGCGUUGUGGAAACUAUUCGCUAAAGGGUGUUCGGGAGGCUACGCCGUAAAACAACCCCAUUUCUAAGGUUGACCUCGGAUCAGGUAGGGAUACCCGCUGAACUUAAGCAUAUCAAUAAGCGGAGGA
rnacentral:misc_RNA from 1 species